UACAGAGGGCCCAAGCGUUACUGAGAAUCACUGGGCUUAAAGGGUGCGUAGGUGGUCCGUUAAGUCAGUUGUGAAAUCCCCGGGCUCAACUCGGGAACUGCUUCUGAUACUGGCGGGCUUGAGGCCAGUAGGGGGCACUAGAACUGACGGUGGAGCGGUGAAAUUCGUAGAUAUUCGCAAGAACACCAGUGGCGAAGGCGGCUCACUGGCCCGGUACUGACGCUGAGGUGCGAAAGCGUGGGGAGCAAACAGG
rnacentral:rRNA from 1 species